GCAAUCUACCUUUCACAGAGGGAUAGCCCAGAGAAAUUUGGAUUAAUACCUCAUAGUAUUAUGAAGUGGCAUCACUUUAUAAUUAAAGUCACAACGGUGAAAGAUGAGCAUGCGUCCCAUUAGCUAGUUGGUAAGGUAACGGCUUACCAAGGCUACGAUGGGUAGGGGUCCUGAGAGGGAGAUCC
rnacentral:rRNA from 1 species